AGAGAGAGAGAGAGAGAGGUUCAGCAUAAAAUAAAAAGAAAAUGAAAAGAAAAGAACACGCCAAAAUAAAGAUAUUAACUCUCAAAUUGCUAUGGAACAUGAAUUCCCACUCAACCAAUUGGCCGAGACAAUCUGUGACAUUUCUAAGAUCCUAAUUUCUAAAGGGAAAAGUUUAUCAUAGACCAAACAAAGUAAGAAUAUUGUACAUACAAACUAAAAUAACUUAAAUCAAGUCAAGGAAAGUUGAAGAAACAACCUUACAGUUGCGAGC
rnacentral:misc_RNA from 1 species